AAAACUAAAUAUAAGAUAUCCCGUGCGCACGAGCAUGCCAUCGGGCGCGUCCCCGGGUUGCGGAUAGGGGAACCCUCUGAGGAUAUACUCUCAGGGUAGCCGUGAAAUAAGUCAUACCUUCGGGAUGGACGAAUAAGCGGCCGCGGACAAGCUCACCACCGCCGGGGAGCCGAUCGACCCCCGGUGUCCCGAUACAUCACAAGCAGACAGACGAAGCGAAGCUGGCGUCGUCGGUGGAGGCCAAGCCGACUUAAAAGACGAAAAUGGACUAUAAAAUGCGUGAGUUAAUUCUCAUCCGGGAGUGCAUUAAGACCAGGAGACAGCGGCUGGGGGUGGCUGGCGCAAGGAGUUGUGAUCGCGGUCAGCCAAAUCCCAGUAAGAGCAGAGGCGGUCAGCUAGGCCUUUGCUCGUGAUCAUGGAUAACGAAGGAUUGAUUUUAAUUUGAGCAAUUAUUUGUGAAUAAAAUAUAAUGAAGCCAAUGGCCCGUCGCCGAAGCUAAAAAUCUAUUUAAAAAAAAAAAAUAACAACAAUACAAAUUUUAUGAAAAAGACCUAUAACCUAUAUUAUCUAUUUUUCGGACCUAUAACGUCUUUUAAAAUUCUAAAUUUAUUCAAUUUUUUGUAUUUUUCAAUAACACAAAUAUACAUUAUACACUGACACAUUGUUAUGCCUAUGAUUAAUUACUGAUGUAUGUAUAUAAUAUAGUGAAGCCCAUUGCCAAAGCUAUAAAAAUCAAUUUAAAAAAAAA